GCCUCGGUAGCUCAAUGGUAGAGCGUGGCUUUCGUAAAGCCAAGGUUGUCGGUUCGAUCCCGACCCGGGGCUCCA
rnacentral:tRNA from 1 species